rnacentral:misc_RNA from 1 species
GAUGAAGAACGCAGCGAAAUGCGAUAAGUAAUGUGAAUUGCAGAAUUCAGUGAAUCAUCGAAUCUUUGAACGCACAUUGCGCCCCUUGGUAUUCCGAGGGGCAUGCCUGUUCGAGCGUCAUUAUAACCCCUCAAGCUCAGCUUGGUGUUGGGGCCUGCUGCACUGGCAGCCCUUAAAAUCAGUGGCGGCGCCAUCUGGCUCUAAGCGUAGUAAUUCUUCUCGCUAUGGAGUCCUGGUGGAUGCUUGCCAUCAACCCCCAAUUUUUCUAUGGCUGACCUCGGAUCAGGUAGGGAUACCCGCUGAACUUAAGCAUAUCAAUAAGCGGAGGA